ACGGGUGAGGAAUGCGUCGGAAUCUGCCUAUUUGUGGGGGAUAACGUAGGGAAACUUACGCUAAUACCGCAUACGACCUACGGGUGAAAGUGGGGGACCGCAAGGCCUCACGCAGAUAGAUGAGCCGACGCCGGAUUAGCUAGUUGGCGGGGUAAAGGCCCACCAAGGCGACGAUCCGUAGCUGGUCUGAGAGGAUGAUCAGCCACACUGGAACUGAGACACGGUCCAGACUCCUACGGGAGGCAGCAGUGGGGAAUAUUGGACAAUGGGCGCAAGCCUGAUCCAGCCAUGCCGCGUGUGUGAAGAAGGCCUUCGGGUUGUAAAGCACUUUUGUCCGGAAAGAAAACCUUUCGAUUAAUACUCGGAGGGAAUGACGGUACCGGAAGAAUAAGCACCGGCUAACUUCGUGCCAGCAGCCGCGGUAAUACGAAGGGUGCAAGCGUUACUCGGAAUUACUGGGCGUAAAGCGUGCGUAGGUGGUUUGUUAAGUCUGAUGUGAAAGCCCUGGGCUCAACCUGGGAACUGCAUUGGAAACUGGCUUACUAGAGUGCGGUAGAGGGUAGUGGAAUUCCCGGUG
rnacentral:rRNA from 1 species